CAGCCGCCACGGGAAUACGAAGGGUGCAAGCGUUACUCGGAAUUACUGGGCGUAAAGCGUGCGUAGGUGGUGGUUUAAGUCCGUUGUGAAAGCCCUGGGCUCAACCUGGGAAUUGCAGUGGAUACUGGGUCACUAGAGUGUGGUAGAGGAUAGUGGAAUUUCCGGUGUAGCAGUGAAAUGCGUAGAGAUCGGAAGGAACAUCUGUGGCGAAGGCGACUAUCUGGGCCAACACUGACACUGAGGCACGAAAGCGUGGGGAGCAAACAGGAUUAGAUACCCGUGUAGUCCCUGUCUCUUAUAC
rnacentral:rRNA from 1 species